UUAAUGUAUGACGCUGUUGUCUUUUUGUCUAACGUUUGACCAUUCGUCUUAUUUAAAAAAUUUAUGUAAUUAUCAUUUAUUUUAUUGUGACUUGAUUCGUCAUCAAAUGUUCUUUAAGCAUGACACAAAUAUUUUCAUAUUUGCACAAAAAAUUUGAAUAAAACGAAUGGUCAAACGUUUGUUGAAAAGUCAACGGUGUCAUACAU
rfam:Oryza sativa Japonica Group DNA, chromosome 8, cultivar: Nipponbare, complete sequence.